ACCCAGGGCCAUGCCCAGUACGGCGAGUGAAGCGGCAACAGCUCAAAUUUGAAAUCUGGCCCCCAGGGCCCGAGUUGUAAUUUGCAGAGGAUGCUUUUGGCGCGGUGCCUUCCGAGUUCCCUGGAACGGGACGCCAUAGAGGGUGAGAGCCCCGUCUGGUCGGACGCCUAGCCUGUGUAAAGCUCCUUCGACGAGUCGAGUAGUUUGGGAAUGCUGCUCUAAAUGGGAGGUAUAUGUCUUCUAAAGCUAAAUACCGGCCAGAGACCGAUAGCGCACAAGUAGAGUGAUCGAAAGAUGAAAAGCACUUUGAAAAGAGGGUUAAAUAGUACGUGAAAUUGUUGAAAGGGAAGCGCUUGUGACCAGACUUGGGCCCGGUGGAUCAUCCAGCGUUCUCGCUGGUGCACUCCGCCGGGUUCAGGCCAGCAUCAGUUCGCCGCGGGGGAAAAAGGCUUCGGGAACGUGGCUCCUACGGGAGUGUUAUAGCCCGUUGCAUAAUACCCUGGGGCGGACUGAGGUUCGCGCUCCGCAAGGAUGCUGGCGUAAUGGUCAUCAGCGACCCGUCUUGAAAACCGGACCAAA
rnacentral:rRNA from 1 species